rnacentral:rRNA from 1 species
GUGCCAGCCGCCGCGGUAAGACGAACCGUGCGAACGUUGUUCGGAAUCACUGGGCUUAAAGGGCGCGUAGGCGGCCGCUCAAGUCGGGGGUGAAAUCUUGCCGCUUAACGGCAAAAGAGCUUUCGAUACUGGGCGGCUGGAGGGAGGUAGGGGUGCGCGGAACUUCCGGUGGAGCGGUGAAAUGCGUAGAUAUCGGAAGGAACGCCGGUGGCGAAAGCGGCGCACUGGACCUCCACUGACGCUGAGGCGCGAAAGCCAGGGGAGCAAACGGGAUUAGAUACCCGCGUAGUCC